GAGGGUAUGGCUCAGUGGUAGAGUGAGUGCUUAGUAAGCACGAGUUCCUGGGUUCAAUCCCCAGUCCCUCCA
rnacentral:tRNA from 1 species